GACGAACGCUGGCGGCGUGCUUAACACAUGCAAGUCGAACGAAGAGCGAUGGAAGCUUGCUUCUAUCAAUCUUAGUGGCGAACGGGUGAGUAACGCGUAAUCAACCUGCCCACCAGAGGGGGACAACAGUUGGAAACGACUGCUAAUACCGCAUACGAUCUAACCUCGGCAUCGAGGAUAGAUGAAAGGUGGCCUCUACAUGUAAGCUAUCACUGAAGGAGGGGAUUGCGUCUGAUUAGCUAGUUGGAGGGGUAACGGCCCACCAAGGCGAUGAUCAGUAGCCGGUCUGAGAGGAUGAACGGCCACAUUGGGACUGAGACACGGCCCAGACUCCUACGGGAGGCAGCAGUGGGGAAUCUUCCGCAAUGGACGAAAGUCUGACGGAGCAACGCCGCGUGAGUGAUGACGGCCUUCGGGUUGUAAAGCUCUGUUAAUCGGGACGAAAGGCCUUCUUGCGAAUAGUGAGAAGGAUUGACGGUACCGGAAUAGAAAGCCACGGCUAACUACGUGCCAGCAGCCGCGGUAAUACGUAGGUGGCAAGCGUUGUCCGGAAUUAUUGGGCGUAAAGCGCGCGCAGGCGGAUCGGUCAGUCUGUCUUAAAAGUUCGGGGCUUAACCCCGUGAUGGGAUGGAAACUGCCAAUCUAGAGUAUCGGAGAGGAAAGUGGAAUUCCUAGUGUAGCGGUGAAAUGCGUAGAUAUUAGGAAGGACACCAGUGGCGAAGGCGACUUUCUGGACGAAAACUGACGCUGAGGCGCGAAAGCCAGGGGAGCGAACGGGAUUAGGUACCCCGGUAGUCCUGGCCGUAAACGAUGGGUACUAGGUGUAGGAGGUAUCGACCCCUUCUGUGCCGGAGUUAACGCAAUAAGUACCCCGCCUGGGGAGUACGACCGCAAGGUUGAAACUCAAAGGAAUUGACGGGGGCCCGCACAAGCGGUGGAGUAUGUGGUUUAAUUCGACGCAACGCGAAGAACCUUACCAGGUCUUGACAUUGAUGGACAGAACUAGAGAUAGUUCCUCUUCUUCGGAAGCCAGAAAACAGGUGGUGCACGGUUGUCGUCAGCUCGUGUCGUGAGAUGUUGGGUUAAGUCCCGCAACGAGCGCAACCCCUAUCUUAUGUUGCCAGCACUUCGGGUGGGAACUCAUGAGAGACUGCCGCAGACAAUGCGGAGGAAGGCGGGGAUGACGUCAAAUCAUCAUGCCCCUUAUGACCUGGGCUACACACGUACUACAAUGGGAGUUAAUAGACGGAAGCGAGAUUGCGAGAUGGAGCAAACCCGAGAAACACUCUCUCAGUUCGGAUCGUAGGCUGCAACUCGCCUACGUGAAGUCGGAAUCGCUAGUAAUCGCAGGUCAGCAUACUGCGGUGAAUACGUUCCCGGGCCU
rnacentral:rRNA from 1 species